rnacentral:rRNA from 1 species
AGUCGAGCGGAAACGACAACAUUGACCCUUCGGGUGAUUUGUUGGGCGUCGAGCGGCGGACGGGUGAGUAAUGCCUGGGAAAUUGCCCUGAUGUGGGGGAUAACCAUUGGAAACGAUGGCUAAUACCGCAUAACGUCUACGGACCAAAGAGGGGGACCUUCGGGCCUCUCGCUUCAGGAUAUGCCCAGGUGGGAUUAGCUAGUUGGUGAGGUAAUGGCUCACCAAGGCGACGAUCCCUAGCUGGUCUGAGAGGAUGAUCAGCCACACUGGAACUGAGACACGGUCCAGACUCCUACGGGAGGCAGCAGUGGGGAAUAUUGCACAAUGGGCGCAAGCCUGAUGCAGCCAUGCCGCGUGUAUGAAGAAGGCCUUCGGGUUGUAAAGUACUUUCAGUCGUGAGGAAGGCAUUAAAGUUAAUAGCUUUAGUGUUUGACGUUAGCGACAGAAGAAGCACCGGCUAACUCCGUGCCAGCAGCCGCGGUAAUACGGAGGGUGCGAGCGUUAAUCGGAAUUACUGGGCGUAAAGCGCAUGCAGGUGGUUUGUUAAGUCAGAUGUGAAAGCCCGGGGCUCAACCUCGGAACCGCAUUUGAAACUGGCAGGCUAGAGUACUGUAGAGGGGGGUAGAAUUUCAGGUGUAGCGGUGAAAUGCGUAGAGAUCUGAAGGAAUACCAGUGGCGAAGGCGGCCCCCUGGACAGAUACUGACACUCAGAUGCGAAAGCGUGGGGAGCAAACAGGAUUAGAUACCCUGGUAGUCCACGCCGUAAACGAUGUCUACUUGGAGGUUGUGGCCUUGAGCCGUGGCUUUCGGAGCUAACGCGUUAAGUAGACCGCCUGGGGAGUACGGUCGCAAGAUUAAAACUCAAAUGAAUUGACGGGGGCCCGCACAAGCGGUGGAGCAUGUGGUUUAAUUCGAUGCAACGCGAAGAACCUUACCUACUCUUGACAUCCAGAGAACUUAGCAG